rnacentral:rRNA from 1 species
CGUAGGAGGCAAGCGUUAUCCGGAUUCACUGGGCGUAAAGCGCGUGCAGGUGGCGCGGUAAGUUGGACGUGAAAUCUCCCGGCUCAACUGGGAGAGGUCGUUCAAUACUACCGUGCUUGAGAGCAGAAGAGGAAGAUGGAAUUCCCGGUGUAGUGGUGAAAUGCGUAGAUAUCGGGAGGAACACCAGUGGCGAAGGCGAUCUUCUGGUCUGUUUCUGACACUCAGACGCGACAGCUAGGGUAGUAAACGGGAUUAGAGACCCCGGUAAUCCUAGCCGUAAACGAUGUGAACUUGGCGUUGGUGGGUUAAACUCCAUCAGUGCCGUAGCAAACGCGAUAAGUUCACCGCCUGGGGACUACGGCCGCAAGGUUA